rnacentral:rRNA from 1 species
UCCUACGGGAGGCAGCAGUGGGGAAUAUUGCACAAUGGGCGCAAGCCUGAUGCAGCAACGCCGCGUGAGGGACGACGGCCUUCGGGUUGUAAACCUCUUUUAGUAGGGAAGAAGCGAAAGUGACGGUACCUGCAGAAAAAGCACCGGCUAACUACGUGCCAGCAGCCGCGGUAAUACGUAGGGUGCAAGCGUUGUCCGGAAUUAUUGGGCGUAAAGAGCUCGUAGGCGGUCUGUCGCGUCUGCUGUGAAAACCCGAGGCUCAACCUCGGGCCUGCAGUGGGUACGGGCAGACUAGAGUGCGGUAGGGGAGAAUGGAAUUCCUGGUGUAGCGG